CUCUGAUCAGCUGAUUCUUCCUUACAAAUACUGUCUUUGCUUCUGGAGCUGUUCCCUCCUCUCCCCUUGAGCUUAAAAGACUUCCUCAACCAAGAAAUGAGCAGUCCUCACCCUCUGGACUGUGUGUGGCAGAAACAUUCCCUGCUCCUGACUCCACGUGUCCUCCGUUACUCUGCUCCGUCACUCUGCUCCAGUGUGUAUAUCAUAAGGCCUGGGUCCAAGUCCACUCGCCACUAGAGCUUCAGCACAAGAGAGCUUCACAUCGGCCAUCAGCUUUACAUCAAUUGCAGGAAGGACCUGAUGUCUGUGGAGGCCAAACAACCAGGACUGAAGCUGAUGCUGUAUGUGGGAAUCCACAGGACCGGACUCUGUCCUGCCUCUCAUCUCCUAAGGGCAUCUGAAAAUUGAGAUGAGAUCCAGGAAGAUGCAGUUCAAUCUCAGGGAAUUCCAAAGAUGCCUGAAAUCCAUCACCUUGAAUUAUUCUUGAAUUACCUAUCAUGACUAGAGGUCCUGUAAUCACUGUCUACCACACCACCAUGAAGUUUAACUCUGCAUUAAAAACAUCUGUUUCACAAAAUCAGAAAAGUGAAAGAGGCUAGAGCAACAGCUCAGUGGAUGGAAAAGAGCCCUUUUUACUCUUCUAGAGGAUGGGGUUAAGUAUUGGCAAGGGUAGGGAAGACAGGAAACCCUUGUUCUUGAAUGGUUCAAAUGUAAAUUAAUUUAGCUAUAAUAGAAAACAUCAAAAAUUGAGCUCUCUGGCAGGCAAGAUGGCUCAGUCAAAU
rnacentral:lncRNA from 1 species